UUGAACUGAAGAGUUUGAUCCUGGCUCAGAUUGAACGCUGGCGGCAUGCCUUACACAUGCAAGUCGAACGGCAGCACGGGCUUCGGCCUGGUGGCGAGUGGCGAACGGGUGAGUAAUACAUCGGAACAUGUCCUGUAGUGGGGGAUAGCCCGGCGAAAGCCGGAUUAAUACCGCAUACGAUCUACGGAUGAAAGCGGGGGACCUUCGGGCCUCGCGCUAUAGGGUUGGCCGAUGGCUGAUUAGCUAGUUGGUGGGGUAAAGGCCUACCAAGGCGACGAUCAGUAGCUGGUCUGAGAGGACGACCAGCCACACUGGGACUGAGACACGGCCCAGACUCCUACGGGAGGCAGCAGUGGGGAAUUUUGGACAAUGGGGGCAACCCUGAUCCAGCAAUGCCGCGUGUGUGAAGAAGGCCUUCGGGUUGUAAAGCACUUUUGUCCGGAAAGAAAUCCUUGGCUCUAAUACAGUCGGGGGAUGACGGUACCGGAAGAAUAAGCACCGGCUAACUACGUGCCAGCAGCCGCGGUAAUACGUAGGGUGCGAGCGUUAAUCGGAAUUACUGGGCGUAAAGCGUGCGCAGGCGGUUUGCUAAGACCGAUGUGAAAUCCCCGGGCUCAACCUGGGAACUGCAUUGGUGACUGGCAG
rnacentral:rRNA from 1 species